rnacentral:tRNA from 1 species
GCCUUAAAAGCUCCCAGCAGAGCACCCGGUCUUGUAAAUCGGAAGGGAGGGUUAAAAUCCCUCUUAAGGCU